UCUUGUCACCAGUUCACUGCCUUCAUGCUUCCGGUUAUUGUCUGAGUUUACCUUAUCUUCCAGCGUUUCAGGAUCUCAGUGACCCUGACCCGCGCACCUCUUAAAUUCUCACGUCUCUAGACGGUUGGCUACGUGUUUUAUUUGCCUGCGCCGGGCUGCUGGAGUUGAGCUGGCCCAGAGCCCUGGCAAUGUCACAGGACCUCUCCAGUGUCACAGGACUCUCCAUCAGGGGGAGGUGAGACGCGCUCAGAAACCUAUUCUUUUACUGGCCAACCCCAGUAAAAAGACCCCACAGUGGCCCUCCCAGAACUUGUUUGAGACAACGAACAAGAGUCCUCGAUUCCCAUGGAGAAAAUACAUGAGUGAGGCAGGGCUGUGCUUUCAUUCCCGGUGUGCUGUGCUGAGCUGAACCCUGUGGCCGGAGUAAACCCCAAGCCCCUGGACGUACCUCUGCUCACAAAGCCCGGCUUUACCCAGAACUGAUCCCGGAAGGGGCAGGUCGGCCGCAGCUUUCCACCGGACUUCUUCACAGCGGAUACUUCUGCACAGGCCCUGACUCUCCCAGGGCUGCGGACACCAACCUUCAUUAGAGGAAGACGAGAGAGAACACCUGAGAAGGAACCCCGGGUGUAUGGCGCGUGACAAGGAGAAUAUCCUGUGACAUCGUCUCCCUACCAGAGGCUGAGAGACUGAGGCUCUCGGAGGUCACAGUAUGGAGUCCUUGGGAGUCAGGGC